rnacentral:rRNA from 1 species
GACGAACGCUGGCGGCGUGCUUAACACAUGCAAGUCGAACGGAAAGGCCCUGCUUUUGUGGGGUGCUCGAGUGGCGAACGGGUGAGUAACACGUGAGUCACCUGCCCUUGACUUUGGGAUAACUUCAGGAAACUGGGGCUAAUACCGGAUAGGCGCUCCUGCUGCAUGGUGGGGGUUGGAAAGUUUCGGCGGGUGGGGAUGGACUCGCGGCUUAUCAGCUUGUUGGUGGGGUAGUGGCUUACCAAGGCUUUGACGGGUAGCCGGCCUGAGAGGGUGACCGGCCACAUUGGGACUGAGAUACGGCCCAGACUCCUACGGGAGGCAGCAGUGGGGAAUAUUGCACAAUGGGCGGAAGCCUGAUGCAGCAACGCCGCGUGCGGGAUGACGGCCUUCGGGUUGUAAACCGCUUUCGCCUGUGACGAAGCGUGAGUGACGGUAAUGGGUAAAGAAGCACCGGCUAACUACGUG